GACGAACCGUGCGAACGUUGUUCGGAAUCACUGGGCUUAAAGGGCGCGUAGGCGGAUCAGCAAGUCCGGGGUGAAGUCCUCCGGCUUAACCGGAGAAGUGCCUUGGAUACUGCUGGUCUCGAGGGAGGUAGGGGUCAUGGGAACUUCUGGUGGAGCGGUGAAAUGCGUUGAUAUCAGAAGGAACGCCGGUGGCGAAAGCGCAUGACUGGAUCUCUUCUGACGCUGAGGCGCGAAAGCUAGGGGAGCGAACGGGAUUAGAUACCCUUGUAGU
rnacentral:rRNA from 1 species